rnacentral:lncRNA from 13 species
CACGUUCAAAGCUGGAGGAAGGGCACACAACCAAGGGCAGGAAUGAAGGAGCAGCAGAGACAGCAAGAAUAAACCUGGCACGCUGCAACCUGCACAGAGCUGAGGCUUGCAGAAAGGCCCAACCACAAAACAAUUUUUUGAAUGUAGGGGAAGGGCAGGUAGGGAGUUUGAAAAGUUUUCUAGAAAGAGGAAGACCUGCUUGGGAGUGAGGGCUAAUUUGGCACUCAAGAAUGACAGAUAUACCCAGAUGCUAUUUGUCACCGAUCUUCUCUGUAAAGAUAAUGGAGGGAGCACACUUUUUUUUUUUUUUUAAAUGAAAAGGGUAGAACAAAUAUUAGCAGGAGGAAAUUAAAACUCAACUGGAUUUUUUCUUUUUUGAGACAAUGGAGUGUCUCUCUGUUGCCCAGGCUGCAGUGCAGUGGCACGAUCUUGGUUCACUGCAACCUCCACCUUCCGGGUUCAAGCAAUUCUCCUGCCUUAGCCUCCCAAGUAGCUGGAACUACAGGUCUCCCCAGAAGCCUGGGUCUACUCCUUGUUUGCUGGCUGCAGGUGGAGGAAGAAAACAGAGAAGCGUGCCCUUGGCUGAGGACAAGAAUCUGCAUGACGUUUUCUUUGACCUUGAGAAUGGCUUUUGCCUACCCCACAGAGCAGGAGAGGAGUUGGAACUUUCCCCUUUGGCUCUGUCAGCCAAAUGUGGCUUUCAGUUCUCUAGGGACUGCUGUAUUUUCUCACGAAUUUCAAAUGCUACAACUCCCCGUGUGACAGCUGGAGAGUUACUAUACCUUUCUGGGCCCCAUUGAGUGACAGAAGAUCAGAAUGGAUAGUCACACGCCUGCCCCAGCAUGGAAGAGCCUUCACUUCCAUCCAUGCUGGCCUCUUCCAAGUUCCCUUCAUUUUUCUCUCUAAGAUCAAAUAAACAGGCAUGUUGUUAUUAUUUUUAUACA